AAGCAGCAUCAGUACAGCGGAGGUGCCCCAUUGGCUCCAUGGCGCGUUCCGCUGGCGAUGCGGCGAGA
rnacentral:snoRNA from 18 species